rnacentral:piRNA from 1 species
UGUGUGGAAUCCUUAACCUGAGAACUUGA